GCAGGUCCCGGGCGUCCUCUGUACCCAUGGGCUGCAGCUAGAAGGUGUUUGCUGCAAGCGCCUACAUCCAGGAAUGACAUUUUGAUGUGGGCAACAGAGCUGGCCUCAGCUUAGUGUUUUCUGUCUCAACCUAAGGUUGCCAUGGCUCAGUGUUAACUGUGGCAGUAUAGAAGGUUUUAGCAUCCAGAUGACACCUCAGAGGAAGAAUGUCUGCCCCCGCUUUCCUUCCCCCAGGCUCUGAAGUCACUGACACCUUUGACACCAUACUUCAUCCUCCGUAGCUGGAAACUAAGUCCUGCUUCCAAAAGAUCAUGCUGAGAAUGAUACAUUGGACUCUGGGACCCCACACUGAGGUGAGCACCAGCAGCUGGAAUGAUCUAGAAGGAAGCCAGAGGUGAAGCCAACUGCCUGAAGGCUGUUUUUUGAGGCAUGUACAAGUGAAUUUGGUUUACAGAACAUUAAUGUUGAUGGAGUGUCUGUCCAUCAUUAUAUGUAGGUCCUUCAUUUUGUACUUGAGAACAAGGGAGGUGAAGAAAGACCAUGCAAGGUCAUAGUGAAAAAAGUGGCCGCAUGGUACACAGAGAACUUGGAUGUGGCGGUAGUUAGUCUUUCACUGUCUACAUGGGAUGAAACUAGUAAGCUUCCUUUGUU